rnacentral:snRNA from 1 species
UAAGGAAGUCACACAAACCAUUGAAGAAAG